GACGAACGCUGGCGGCGUGCCUAAUACAUGCAAGUAGAACGCUGAAGGAGGAGCUUGCUUCUCUGGAUGAGUUGCGAACGGGUAAGUAACGCGUAGGUAACCUGCCUGGUAGCGGGGGAUAACUAUUGGAAACGAUAGCUAAUACCGCAUAAGAUUGACUAUUGCAUGAUAGUCAGUUAAAAGGUGCAAUUGCAUCACUACCAGAUGGACCUGCGUUGUAUUAGCUAGUUGGUGGGGUAACGGCUCACCAAGGCGACGAUACAUAGCCGACCUGAGAGGGUGAUCGGCCACACUGGGACUGAGACACGGCCCAGACUCCUACGGGAGGCAGCAGUAGGGAAUCUUCGGCAAUGGACGGAAGUCUGACCGAGCAACGCCGCGUGAGUGAAGAAGGUUUUCGGAUCGUAAAGCUCUGUUGUAAGAGAAGAACGAGUGUGAGAGUGGAAAGUUCACACUGUGACGGUAUCUUACCAGAAAGGGACGGCUAACUACGUG
rnacentral:rRNA from 1 species